UUAUGGGUGCACACCUUACUACAGUGUGACUCAACUUCCAAGAAAGUAAGCAUUGAUUAACUAUGUUUAUUGAAAACAGAAAUCAUCAUUAUUGAACAAUUUUUUAUGAAGCUUUUUUUGUGGAGGUAUCGAGGAAUGCUGAGGAUACCUCCUGUCCAUCUCCAUACUCCUCAUACUAACAGAUCCAAGAAACAUUCCCCUAUAAAUGUCUAUAUUCAUCAUUUAUCCAAUAUUUUCUACAAUGUUACUGUAGCAAUAAAAAGUGUUCAAACUUACAUUUUCAGUUCACUGGUAUAAUUACAGU